GGACUUGGGGACUUGCUGGUUCUAAUGCUGAAUUGGCUUCCUUCAAAUGCAUUAGCUGAAGUCUUACAAGCAGCGUAUAUGCGGUGUGAUAAUAUCUUCACUGUAUUGCUCUUGUUGAAAUCAGCUUCUAAUGGUCCUUCAAUUGGACAACGCUUUGACAAUUUGACCUCAAAUCAGGUAGGACUACCCGCUGAACUUAA
rnacentral:misc_RNA from 1 species